AAAGUUUACUUUUAAAACUCUAAAAGAGGGGUGCUUAUGAUUUGAAAAUUUUAAACUAUUAAAAUUAAGAAAAAACCUUCUGUCUCUACAUAACAAAAAAACCAAACAAAAAUAAAUGAAAUGUUCACUUAAAUAAUAAAUUAAUUACAUUUAACGAAACAUAUCAAAAAUUAGUCUGAUUUUCUAUUUUAUAAUUAUUAAAUAAAACUUAAAACCAAUAUACAACAAAAACCAUAACUCUAAAGGCAGUGUUCUUGAAAUUAUACUAACUGUACUCGAAAUAAAUUUAUUAACUCACUUUAAUUAACUCAAAAUAAAUCGAAAAUAAAAACAAAAUUUAACAGAUAAAUCUUUGAAUUGUAAUCUAUGGGCGAGUUUCAGCACAAAUUCCCUAUAACUACGCUAACACAUGCAAAAGCGUGCAGUCAAAAGCAAACAACUUAACUGUGGACUGCAUUUGCCAUCAAUUCGCUUAAAGUUAUUACGCGUUUAAUCGAGUUUUGGCGUAUUUCAGUGUAAUAAUCGAUUCAAUCUGUGUCGAGCACAAUUUAUCGUCGUAUGCUCCACUUUCACACGACUGCGACCGAUGCGUGUGAAGCACAGCUAAAGCAAAAACAGUGAGUGAAAUAUAUAUUUACAGAUAGUCGAAAAGUAAUACUGGCAGUGUGUGUGCAUGUGUGCAAAUACAUGUGUAUCUGUAUGUGUGUUUAACGCCAGCGUGGCAAGCAAGCAGCUUAUGUGUUGAGCUCGUCACAUAAAAGGCUAUGAAAGCUUAAGUCUAACGCUAAGCCGCUAUCGUCUCACUUACACGAAAUUGGUUUAUUAAUAACACCACUACAAGCGCGUUAGCUGAAAGCGACAAUAUCUACAAGCAAUAUCAGUAAACUGAACUCACGGUAUUAUAACGCUUUACUAAAGUAAAUACCAAAGCAACAACAACCAGUGUGCUAUAAAGUUACGAAAAUAAAAAUAGAAAAACUAAUCAAGAAUAGUGCAGCAGUGAAUGGCGGAAACCAUGGCAGGAUUGUGGCUGAAUUUGACUUGCAAAAAGUUGCUACAAUGGCUGAGUAAAAGAUAUCUUCCUGUUGGGUUCAGUGAGGAAUAGCUCAAUA